ensembl:ncRNA R10E12.9 ncRNA
GGUGGAUGUCAACAAAUGGCCAAUAAAUCGUUGAGUUAUUGCAGUCACCCACUGUUUGGCGGCAACUCGGCGUUCGAAAGCUUUAUGGUCCCAAUGGACCCCCUAAUUAUAUAUCCGUUUGCUUUUGAAACCCUAAAAUGUUU